rnacentral:lncRNA from 1 species
UCCGCUAUUCGAAUAUGGCCAACUCCGCGGACAGGUAGAUAUGCACUGAUCCAAAGACCGCGGGUCUUGUAUCGGCAGCCACUUAACGAUAUCUUCUUAGUUCCCCCCGACGUCCGCAUGCCCCCUUGUUAUACAGCGUCUCCACCUUCCUCGGCGCCGACGCGACCACCGGAUCGGAUCUAGGUGGGUUAAGUUUGCGGGAUCAGUAGGAAGGCAAGAUCUGUUGAGCGAUAUUCGAACCGAAGACCCAAGUCGGCCGUUGGCCAAGGAUCGUAAACGAAGCGCGCCCCUGCGCUGUUGGACGCGAUGCAGGAAGAAGUGAGGUGGUAACCGUUUUUUUAUUUUACGCAAGUCUCAUCUCGAUUACGAUAUUGUUUUCAUCUGUCGGUUUAAAUUAUACGUGUACAUCAACGCGGGAUCAAACCUGAAUGAUCUAUAAUUACAUGCAGGCAUUGAGUGAUAGAUGGUAAAAAAAUCGAGCCCACUGCGAAGACGGCUGAUGGUUUUAGCCGGUUCCUUACGUGACGAAGAAACGUGAAAAUAAAGCUGGACUAGAUCUGGUAGAAGAACUCGGCUCAGCGGAAAGCAUAGCAGGGAGAGCAAAACAAAUCGACACACCAUGUGACUGAUAAGAGAGUCAAUGGACGAUAAAAAUUCAAGUAAUGUUACAGUGAACUUUUCUUUCUCCGUGACCCGUGACCGCUUUUCUCGCGACAACAGAGGAUGGUCGCCAUUCCUCUCAAUUCGUACCCUUCCAUACCUGACCUCCAUGCAUGGGGUAUAAGCGAAAAUCGGGUGCAACUGGACGGAUAUUUUUUGAGCUUUUGUUAUCAUCCGGAGAGCAGAUACCGGUAUCUGUGUUAAAAUUUAUUCCCGAUGAUUAUCAACCUGACUCAUGCACGUAUAGUUAGCUAUAGGUACUUGUUUACCUAUAAUCUUUGAUUGCAGCGACAUCGAGAUGGGCGCAUAAAUAUAUAUCUGUUUAUAAAUCCACCUGUCGCCUAGGUUUUACUUCUGAUAUAUAAGUCACGGAUCAAUGCAUAGGUGUACUUAUGUCGGGUUAUUGUGGUAAUGGCGCAAGCUUCGCAUCGAGUUUGUACCGACUACCUAUUGCGGACGCGAAAAUAUUUUUAGCAGAUUACGAUGAAUCUGACUGAUUUAUAAUUAUCUCGAGAAAUAAUUUGCCGAUUUUUUUUUUUAGCGAUAAGCUCCGGAAGAAUUGCCAACUUGCAAUCGAAGUAAUUCACCCAUCACGCUAAACACCAGUCUUUUACUUCACCAAUGAACCCAUUUGCUAUUAUCUGCAUUGAUUGCUAAGUUUAGCCUUAUUAACUGUUUGCGUUAAAGAUAUACAUAUGUGUAACUAACCAAGACCAACAAUCCAAUGUUAUUUAUACGUACGGCAAAAUGUUAACAACUGUAUAAACUAAGUGAUAUUAUUACAAGAUUAGUUGUAAUAUCAAAGCGCGUCACUUUUUGUACACAUGACCUAUAAAUUGGACUUUCAAAUGUAUCGAACUAGACUUGCGGCUAAAUUAAUUAGCUUUUUACACUUUCGUGUUUUCAAUUUUGAAGAUCUGAAAAAAUUUACCAAAAAUUGAAAAUACACAAUCACCACACCCUGGCGACGAAAGUGAUGCAAUUAUUGCUAGUGUCGUGAAAACCGGUAAAACAAUGUAUGUAUAGGUACGUAAUAGCAGCCGUCGUGUUUGGGAAACAGGAAUAACUGACGAGGCACGACAUAUAUAUCACAUAAAUUUUUUUUUAAAUCAAAUCAAACAUCCUUAAAUUACGUUCAGACACCUUGCGGUCGGCGAGUCAAAAGAACCGUUGUGCACACAGAGUUCCAUAAAUUACGAAAUAAUACAACAUAUCACAUGUAGUUAAUAACAUUUGGAUAGCUGCGGAUUUUCAGGGUCAAGUUUUCUUACUCUUGACACAGUUUUCCACGAAUGUUCAAGCCGGCGUUUCUCUACGCCAUAAGUAAGCACAUAGACGUCGUUAUCGGAUCAUAAGGUGCUCAAAAUAAACAUUAGCAAAUGUGACAUGUACCAUGCUAAUGGUAAAUAUAAAACGCACUAGCCGUGCUCGUUGGGGGAUAAUUAAAUUUUGCAUUUUCGUACGCGGAGGCCGUUAAUCAAGCAUGAUAUUCCGCCACAAUUAUCGUCGGCGUUAAACAAAUCUGGUAUAAAGUCGCUAAGUGGUGCUAACAAGAUGUCGUCGCUGCUAAAAGGAGCAGGACACUCGGACUUUCAAGGCAAAUGUGAGUUGUAAUUUACGCUAGAUUUCUUAACGCCGUCGAAUACAAGCGGGAAGAAUUACCCUUUGUCACGGAUCAUACGAUGUCCACGAUGAUUAGACGUUCCAUCACAUUUUUAAAGAUCAAACGAGGAUAAUUGUUCACUAAUAACGGAGUAAAACGUCCUUUCUAAUUUCCGACGAUGGUUGUUAUUCUUGUUAGUUGGUCAGUUAAUUUUUAUACGAAAUCGAGCGUAAUCCGCCUUACUAUAUGCAACCAUCACGUAAAGACGUCAUGCAGGAUCAAGCGCAACUAAUUGAUAAAUAAUCAUAGAGAAUUUCAUAUCUUUACUUUAUAAAUAGAUAAUUUUAUUAUAAACAUUUCAAUGGCAUACACAGUUACGGAUUAACUGGUCAUACAAUAUUUCCCAAUCUUUAUAGUAAAAAUUAGUUGAUUAAUAUCCAUAAUCGAAAUAUGUACUUGGGCAUUAUAUGUAGACCUCGGUAAUGCCGCCAGUGACUACAAAGUUAAGACAUUGAUGUGUAUAUUUACCAAACAAUCAGACUCAGUGUGUUGAAAUUUUUUAUGUUGAAAUAUGAUAACAAAUUGUAUUUUAUUCACCGUGACAAAUGCACGAUACUUAGAUGAUACACGUAUAGACGCGUGGAUUCUUUUAAACCAAUUUCUUUGCCUCGAAGAAUCCUUUCAGAUGUUUCAUCUGCCAUGCACCCAUUGCUAGAAGAAUCGCUGUCUGAGCAAGCGACCACCACAGGACACGUUGAUUCGUGCUUUCCGACGUCUGUCUAAAUCGUUCUUCACGAUACUGAAACAUUGAAUAUUGUAUCGUAAUGAUUAGGGUAAGACUGAAUAAUAUUAUAUUUAGUUAAAAUAA